GAUGAUUUGGGGGAAAUCAUUUGCCUUCCCUAAAGGCUUAGUUCCUGCAUCUGUUAAUGGGGCUGUGCAAGGUCACAGAAGCAUGUGCACCCUCGGGCCCUGAGAGCCAGGCACUGGCAGGAAUGGUGUGGAUUGUGAAGGCGUAUGAACUACAGUAUUAUGGGUGGCAACCCAGAGACACCCACAACAGCUACCUCGCAGAAACGCAUCAUAGCUCAUCUUCAGGGCGUGUUUUGUAGACAAUCUUCACGGUCUACCAUUUGGCCUGUAGAGGGCAGCA